GGGAGUUGGGUGUUUGCUUUCCUUUCUGAGUUGGGUUUUGGUGCUUCUCCUAUAUUAUAUCUGUAUAGCCUUUUCCUUUUAGCAUCUUUGUAGUAUGCUAGUUUGUCUUUCAUUGCAUCUAUAUCAUAUUGCAUUUGUAUCAUACUGCACUAGAUGAGCUUCUCUUAUAUGCCCUGACUACUGUUUUAGGCUACUUGUGAGCUAGUGCCUUGGUUGUUUACUUAGAUGCAAUGUGCAAUGCUCUUGAUGAUCUUGUAUACAUGAUGAAAACUGCUUUCUGAAAUUCAAUGCUAAAUUCUACUUUAUUAACUUGUAUAUCAC
rnacentral:lncRNA from 1 species